rnacentral:rRNA from 1 species
GACGAACGCUGGCGGCGUGCUUAACACAUGCAAGUCGAACGAUGAAGCCGCUUCGGUGGUGGAUUAGUGGCGAACGGGUGAGUAACACGUGGGCAAUCUGCCCUGCACUCUGGGACAAGCCCUGGAAACGGGGUCUAGUACCGGAUACGACACAGGAAGGCAUCUUCUCUGUGUGGAAAGCUCCGGCGGUGCAGGAUGAGCCCGCGGCCUAUCAGCUUGUUGGUGGGGUGAUGGCCUACCAAGGCGACGACGGGUAGCCGGCCUGAGAGGGCGACCGGCCACACUGGGACUGAGACACGGCCCAGACUCCUACGGGAGGCAGCAGUGGGGAAUAUUGCACAAUGGGCGAAAGCCUGAUGCAGCGACGCCGCGUGAGGGAUGACGGCCUUCGGGUUGUAAACCUCUUUCAGCAGGGAAGAAGCGCAAGUGACGGUACCUGCAGAAGAAGCACCGGCUAACUACGUGCCAGCCGCCGCGGUAAAAC